rnacentral:rRNA from 1 species
GACGAACGCUGGCGGCGUGCCUAAUACAUGCAAGUCGAACGAGCGCGACCGGUGCUUGCACUGGUCACUCUAGUGGCGAACGGGUGAGUAACACGUGGGUAACCUGCCCAUCAGAGGGGGAUAACAUUCGGAAACGGAUGCUAAAACCGCAUAGGUCUUCGAACCGCAUGGUUUGAAGAGGAAAAGAGGCGCAAGCUUCUGCUGAUGGUUGGACCCGCGGUGCAUUAGCUAGUUGGUAAGGUAACGGCUCACCAAGGCCGUGAUGCAUAGCCGACCUGAGAGGGUGAUCGGCCACACUGGAACUGAGACACGGCCCAGACUCCUACGGGAGGCAGCAGUAGGGAAUCUUCCGCAAUGGACGAAAGUCUGACGGAGCAACGCCGCGUGAGUGAAGAAGGUUUUCGGAUCGUAAAACUCUGUUGUUAGAGAAGAAUAAGUGCUAGAGUAACUGUUAGCGCCUUGACGGUAUCUAACCAGAAAGCCACGGCUAACUACGUG